rnacentral:rRNA from 1 species
GAUGAACGCUGGCGGCGUGCCUAAUACAUGCAAGUCGAGCGAACGGACGAGAAUCUUGCUUCUCUGAUGUUAGCGGCGGACGGGUGAGUAACACGUGGAUAACCUACAUAUAAGACUGAGAUAACUUCGGGAAACCGGAGCUAAUACCGGAUAAUAUUUUGAACCGCAGGGUUCAAAAGUGAAAGACGGUCUUGCUGUCACUUAUAGAUGGAUCCGCGCUGCAUUAGCUAGUUGGUAAGGUAACGGCUUACCAAGGCAACGAUGCAUAGCCGACCUGAGAGGGUGAUCGGCCACACUGGAACUGAGACACGGUCCAGACUCCUACGGGAGGCAGCAGUAGGGAAUCUUGCGCAAUGGGCGAAAGCCUGACGGAGCAACGCCGCGUGAGUGAUGAAGGUCUUCGGAUCGUAAAACUCUGUUAUUAGGGAAGAACAUAUGUGUAAGUAACUGUGCACAUCUUGACGGUACCUAAUCAGAAAGCCACGGCUAACUACGUG